CUUGCUUUCUUUGCUGGCGACCGGCGCACGGGUGAGUAACACGUAUCCAACCUGCCCUUUACUCGGGGAUAGCCUUUCGAAAGAAAGAUUAAUACCCGAUAGCAUAAUGAUUCCGCAUGGUUUCAUUAUUAAAGGAUUCCGGUAAAGGAUGGGGAUGCGUUCCGUUAGGUUGUUGGUGGGGUAACGGCCCACCAAGCCUUCGAUGGAUAGGGGUUCUGAGAGGAAGGUCCCCCACAUUGGAACUGAGACACGGUCCAA
rnacentral:rRNA from 1 species